CAGUCGCCGCGGGAAUACGGAGGGUGCAAGCGUUAAUCGGAAUUACUGGGCGUAAAGCGCACGCAGGCGGUCUGUCAAGUCAGAUGUGAAAUCCCCGGGCUUAACCUGGGAACUGCAUUUGAAACUGGCAGGCUAGAGUCUUGUAGAGGGGGGUAGAAUUCCAGGUGUAGCGGUGAAAUGCGUAGAGAUCUGGAGGAAUACCGGUGGCGAAGGCGGCCCCCUGGACAAAGACUGACGCUCAGGUGCGAAAGCGUGGGGAGCAAACAGGAUUAGAUACCCGGGUAGUCCCUGUCUCUUAUAC
rnacentral:rRNA from 1 species